AUUGAACGCUGGCGGCAGGCCUAACACAUGCAAGUCGAGCGAGCGGCGGACGGGUGAGUAAUGUCUGGGAAACUGCCUGAUGGAGGGGGAUAACUACUGGAAACGGUAGCUAAUACCGCAUACUAUCAGAUCUGCCCAGGGGGGAUUAGCUAGUAGGUGGGGUAAUGGCUCACCUAGGCGACGAUCCCUAGCUGGUCUGAGCGGAUGACCAGACACAUUGGAACUGAGACACGGUCCAGACUCCUACGGGAGGCAGCAGUGGGGAAUAUUGCACAAUGGGCGCAAGCCUGAUGCAGCCAUGCCGCGUGUGUGAAGAAGGCCUUCGGGUUGUAAAGCACUGUCAGCGGGGAGGCGGUACCCGCAGAAGAAGCACCGGCUAACUCCGUGCCAGCAGCCGCGGUAAUUC
rnacentral:rRNA from 1 species